rnacentral:rRNA from 1 species
UACGUAGGGACCGAGCGUUGUCCGGAAUCAUUGGGCGUAAAGAGCGUGUAGGCGGCCAGGUAGGUCAGCUGUGAAAACUCGAGGCUCAACCUCGAGACGUCGGUUGAAACCACCUGGCUAGAGUCCGGAAGAGGAGAGUGGAAUUCCUGGUGUAGCGGUGAAAUGCGCAGAUAUCAGGAAGAACACCCGUGGCGAAGGCGGCUCUCUGGGACGGUACUGACGCUGAGACGCGAAAGCGUGGGGAGCGAACAGG